ensembl:snoRNA
UGUUGUGGUGGUUUCUGUAUCUGGCAGAUCUGUAACUGUAACAGAGCGGCCUUGAACUACCACAAAGAUCAGAAAGGAGGAUGAGUGUUCUGAGAACUCUUUCAGGCUCUUAGUUUUCAGUUUUUUGUUCAACUCCUACAGAA